rnacentral:lncRNA from 1 species
CCAUUUCCAAAAUGCCACACUACACCAAAGACUAUUUUUCUUUUAGCCUACCAGUACACCGUGACAUUCUAACCUUUGUAACCAUCUUGAAACUGACCCCAAGGCACCAAGACAAGUCGAAAGAAACAAAAUACAAGGUUACGAGAGUAAGCUUGAGUGGUAAAAGGCUAGAGAGAGUGAGAUCAUUCGAGUGGAGGUAAAAGCCAAACGAGUGUAAACACG